rnacentral:rRNA from 1 species
AUACGGAGGGGGCAAGCGUUGUUCGGAAUUACUGGGCGUAAAGAGUACGUAGGCGGAUCGUUAAGUUAGAGGUGAAAUCCCAGGGCUCAACCCUGGAACUGCCUUUAAUACUGGCGAUCUAGAGAUCGAGAGAGGUGAGUGGAAUUUCCAGUGUAGAGGUGAAAUUCGUAGAUAUUGGAAAGAACACCAGUUGCGAAGGCGGCUCACUGGCUCGAUACUGACGCUGAGGUACGAAAGCGUGGGGAGCAAACAGGAUUAGAAACCCCAGUAGUCC